AUACGUAGGGUCCAAGCAUUAUCCGGAUUGACUGGGUGUAAAGAGUUGCGUAGGUGGUGUCUUAAGUAGAUAGUGAAAUCUGGUGGCUCAACCAUUCAGACUAUUAUCUAAACUGGGGCGCUCGAGAGCGUUAGGGGUAGCUGGAAUUUCUAGUGUAGGAGUGAAAUCCGUAGAUAUUAGAAAGAACACCGAUAGCGUAGGCAGGCUACUGGGACGUUUCUGACACUAAGGCACGAAAGCGUAGGGAGCAAACGGGAUUAGAUACCCCGGUAGUCUACGCUGUAAACGAUGGAUACUAGCAGUUUCGGGUAUCGACCCCUGGAGUUGCGAAGCUAACGCGUUAAGUAUCCCACCUGUGUAGUACGAUCGCAAGAUUAAAACUUAAAGGAAUUGACGGGG
rnacentral:rRNA from 1 species